rnacentral:lncRNA from 1 species
GUUUCACUUAAACAUUGCUAUGGUUUGAAUAGGUCUCUUCCAAAAUUCAGGUGUUACCAAUGUGAUAAUGCUAAAAUGUGGAGCCCUUAAGAGGUGAUUAAGCCAUGAAAACUUUCUUUGAAUGGGAUUAAGGACUUAGAGUCUUCUGGCAGCUUUAACCUCACUUGACCUUCCGCCUUCCACCAUGUAAAGACACAGCAUUCUUCCCUUCUGGAAUAUGCAGCAACAAGGUGCCAUAUUGGAAGCAGAGAGUAGCUCUCACAAGACAACCAAAUCUGUGGGUGUCUUGACCUUGAACAUCCCAGCCUCCAGAACUAUGACAAAUAAAUUUCUGUUCUUUAUAUACUGUACAGUCUGUGGUAUUCUGCUACAGCAACACAAAACUGAGUAAAACAGAAAUAGUUCAAAUGUAUUUUUAAAAUUGAAUGAAUUACUUAAGAAUAUGUUUGGUUUUGCAUCUUUUUGAGCACAAUGUUGUCACGUGUAUGUAAAAAUGCAGUUUGUAAUUCCUCAUAAUCUUCUUUCAUGUGUCAAUAUAAAAGAUGUAUUUAUUUUCCUUUUGAUAGACAUUUAAAUUGAUGCUAUGACAGCUCUUGUUAAUUUUUACUGGUGAAUUUAAAAAUGGGUUAAUUGGAAUGUCAUUUCAGGUUCUCCAGUCAGCAGACACUGAAAUGCCUACAUGACUAAGAGAUUUUUGUGGGGGUAAUAAGGGUGCCUGUUGAAAGCAAAGGGGAGAAAGCAGAAUUGGGCAGGAAAAGCCUUCAGACUUCCAGGUAUAUCUAUGAAAGUCUAGGCCAACCCAGUGGGGAGAUUUGAAGCUGGGAUUUACCAUUUGAGAGACCCUGUGUUGGGCAGAAAUAGUUAAGGUGCCGUAAAUGGAAGUUGUCAGCUACUGCACUCCUUGCAACUGAAAUGCAAGUUAUUUUGAAGUGCAAGUGAUAAAGUGUACCCAUAUGGCUGCCAAAAUGUGCCAGCAGGAUAAUCAAAAAAAUUUUUAUUUUUUUAAAUUUUUUUAUUUUUUUGAGACGGAGUCUCACUCUGUGGCCCAAGCUGGAGUGCAGUGGUGUGAUCUCGGCUCACUGGAAGCUCCGCCUCCCAGGUUCACACCAUUCUCCCGCCUCAGCCUCCCCCAGUAGCUGGGGACUACAGGUGCAUGCCAUCACACCUGGCUAAUUUUUUUCUGUAUUUUUAGUAGAGGCGGGGUUUCACCGUGUUAACCAGGAUCAUCUGGGUCUCCCGACCUCGUGAUCCACCCGCCUUGGCCUCCAAAAGUGCUGGGAUUAAAGGCUUAAACCACCGUGCCUGGCCUUAGGAUAAUCAAAUUUUUAAUUUUAUAAGGUAAUACUAAUUACUUUCUAAAUUAGUUGUACCAAUUUAUGUACUUACAAGCAGAAUGUAAGAUUUUCCACUGGCCCACACCUUUUCCAAUAUUAUAGAAAUUUAGACUUCCUAAGUUUAGAAACAUGUACAAAACUUUUUAUAUUAUUGUGUUAAUAAUAGCAAAAAUCUAAACAUAACCUAAAUGUCUAUCAACAAUAAAAUGAAUAAGUUGCAGUUAUGAUCAUACAAUAGGCUCUUAUGCAGCUCCACCUAUCAAUUUAGAUAAACCUCAGAAAACAUAAUAAUGUGUGAAAGAAGCAAGUCACAAAAAUGUAUACAGUAUGAUUCCAAUGUUAUAAAGGUCAUAAACAGACAAAAUGAAACAAUAUUUUGUUUAGGAACACAUACAUAGGUGUUAAAGCUAAAAUGAAAAGAAAAUGAAUGAUUAAUUUUACAUUCAGAAUGUAUCUGUUGAGAAGGAAAGAACACAUAGGGUAUUUAUGGAGAUAAAUAUAUUCUAUUUAUAUUACUUAGAUUGAGUGUUUGCUUCAUGAUUGUAUAUGGGCUCAUAUGUUCAUUUGUACAUAUUCUUCCAAACAAUUGUUUAAAUAAUGUUGUAUCUCACAACUGAAAAUAUUUUCAACAAAAGAAAAAGUGGUCCAUACUCGCUGCUUCCUAAAUAUUAAUGUAGCAGGAAAUAGUUCACAUUAAGAACUAGUGUUUCCAAAGAUUACAAAAGGCUUGGAAGGACUUGGAUAGCAGAUUUUAUGAGCACACAAGUCCUAAGACUCAAGCAGGCCUUUCAGGCAGUGCUUCCCUAAAUUUUAUUUGUUUACAGAUCACGUAGAGAUUUUGUUAAAAUGUAGAUUCAGCGACUCUGCCUCCUCUCACCCUCCAUCCUCCACCUUCUGGUAGCCCCCAGUAUCUGUUGUUCCCCUUUUUGUGUCCACCUCUUCUUGUCAUUUAUUUCCCACUUUAAGUGAGAACAUGCAGUAUUUGGUUUUCUGUUACUGCAUUAGUUUGCUAAAGAUAAUGGCCUCCUAUUGGGUACUAGGCUUAGUACCUGAGUGAUAAAAUAAUCUGUACAUCAAACCCCCAGGACAUGAGUUUCCCUAUAUAACAAACCUGCACGUGUAUCCCUGAACCUAAAAUAAAAGUUUAAAAAAAUGUAGAUUCUGAUUCAGCAGGUCUGAGGUGAAGCCUGAGACAUUUCAUUUCUAACAUGCUCCCAGGUGAUGCAGAUGGAUCCUACUAGUUUUUGAACCACAUUUUGUGUUGCAGUGAUUUAGAGCACUUGCUAUAGAAACAGUACACAGGUGGGUUGAAGAGCGAAAUCAAUGUUUAUCCUUUACUAAGGAAAUCACAAUGGUAAUCGAGAUGAAAGGACAGAAAUAAAAACAAAUGAAUUAGGAAUUCGAAUAAACUACAAUAAUGACAGAAUUAAAGGAACGUACUUUAAUCCACUGGGAAACAUUUAGGGAAACAUUUAUAGUAGUUCCUUGAAGCAAGUUGUCAAAGGGAGGCAGAAAGCAAUCUAAUCUGGGCAUUUGGAGAGUUGGUUAGUUUCCUUAAUGUUAAAUCCCUUUGGGUUUUUCCCCAAGCCCUGCAAUACUAAUAUCUGUGAGCUCACCAAUGAAAAACAUGAUUGGAGGGGCAUUUUAAUAGCAAUAUGCUCAUUGGAAAAGAUUAUUCAAAUAAAAGGAAAAGAAGCCUGUCUGAAAUAAAGAGUUCACCGUACAAAAUAAGUUUGAAAGAAAAAAAAUCAACAUAUGUACAAAAAUUAACAAACAAAAUAUCUGAAAAACACUAUUAAAAUUAUUAGUGAGACCUUCUCCUAUGCCACUAUAAAACAUAAAACAAUAAUUAACUUCAGUUGAUAUUCUAAUCAUCUCAGAUUUUGAAUUCGUGAGGACUGCAUUAAUACAAUUUAAGCAGUGACGUGCUAGUAAAUGCUUAACAAUCAGGUCUCCCAAGAAAAGUAGAUAGAUGAUGGUAGAUAGAUAGGUAGAUAAGUAGAUAGAUAGAUAGAUAGAUAGAUAGGGUAGAUAGAUGAUAGAGAAAUAAAUGUUAGAGUGAUAAACAGAAAUUUAGAUAUAGAAAUAUAGAUAUGUAAACAUUAUGAAUGUUACAUGUAAACAUUUAUUAUGAAUGCUACUAAAGAUUUAUAAAGGAUGUAUAAUACAUAAUUUAAAAAUAAUCAGGUGUACAUUACUCUGUAUUGUAAAUUCCUUUUAUUAAAUUCAUUUUCCGGCAAUGCUUUUUUUUUUUUUAAUUUUUGCUAGAUCCUUGUAUUUAUUGCCCUAUUUUGGUUGCAAGUGACUAAUGAGUAUAGCUCUGGCAUGAAUGUUGAUGGAUGUUUCAGUUUCACUUUAUUAAAGAAAAAUAACAAAAAUAUUUUGGAGUUCACUUAUUUGUUGAUUAUUUUGCUGAAUCAAAUAAUACUUUUAGAAAUCUAGAAGAAUAUUCCUCAUUUUUGUGCUAUUCAUCCAAAAAUAAGCUACAAGCACAACACAUUCCUAAGUUUAAUCUGCAUUAUUAACUUUUCUCCUUCACUUUCUUAAAUCUAAACAAUUAGCAAGUUCUGAUCUAUAGUGUUUCUGGUUUCCAUGAUGCAGGUACUCCUACCAUGACCAAAUCUCAGCUACCAGUGUGAUGUCGUUAAUAAGGGAGUUGGGAAAAGAUUUAUAUUAUAUAGAAUUUUCACUCUAAAGACAAAAUAGAAAUAAAAGAUUUCAGGGCCUAGAUGAUAAUAAAAGGUAGUACAAUAAUUAAAAAGCGAUGUUUUGAGUAUUUAACUUUUCAAACAUCAUUACAUAUAUUUUGCUAUAACUACAUAAAAUACAUAUAAAAACAAUGAAAUGUAAUUUGACAAAAUAAUGGUAGUUAUAUUAGCGUGGCAUUUUUUCUUUCUUUUUAAGUUUUCUGUAAUAUGGUUUGUUGCCUUUUUAAAAAUAAACUUAGAAUUUUAUAACAAUUUUAGAUUUAGCAAAAAAUUGUGAAGAUAAUAAAGAAAACUGCUACAUACCCAACACCAAGUUUCC